UACGUAGGUUCCGAGCGUUGUCCGGAUUUAUUGGGCGUAAAGCGAGCGCAGGUGGUUUAUUAAGUCUGGUGUAAAAGGCAGUGGCUCAACCAUUGUAUGCAUUGGAAACUGGUAGACUUGAGUGCAGGAGAGGAGAGUGGAAUUCCAUGUGUAGCGGUGAAAUGCGUAGAUAUAUGGAGGAGCACCGGUGGCGAAAGCGGCUCUCUGGCCUGUAACUGACACUGAGGCUCGAAAGCGUGGGGAGCAAACAGG
rnacentral:rRNA from 1 species